AGUGAACGCUGGCGGUAGGCCUAACACAUGCAAGUCGAACGGCAGCACAGUAAGAGCUUGCUCUUACGGGUGGCGAGUGGCGGACGGGUGAGGAAUACAUCGGAAUCUACUUUUUCGUGGGGGAUAACGUAGGGAAACUUACGCUAAUACCGCAUACGACCUACGGGUGAAAGCAGGGGAUCUUCGGACCUUGCGCGAUUGAAUGAGCCGAUGUCGGAUUAGCUAGUUGGCGGGGUAAAGGCCCACCAAGGCGACGAUCCGUAGCUGGUCUGAGAGGAUGAUCAGCUGCACUGGAACUGAGACACGGUCCAGACUCCUACGGGAGGCAGCAGUGGGGAAUAUUGGACAAUGGGCGCAAGCCUGAUCCAGCCAUACCGCGUGGGUGAAGAAGGCCUUCGGGUUGUAAAGCCCUUUUGUUGGGAAAGAAAAGCAGCAGGUUAAUACCCCGCUGUUCUGACGGUACCCAAAGAAUAAGCACCGGCUAACUUCGUG
rnacentral:rRNA from 1 species